rnacentral:lncRNA from 1 species
UUUCGGGUUGAGCCAAUUGAUUGAUUGUGUUGAUAGAUAUUUCACUCAUCGGCCAAGUCCUAUGAAGUAUAAUCCAAACCAUUUAACAUCAUUACCCAAAAUUUAUUAGGUAUCAAAAUUCAACAAAUCUCCACCUUAAUGCCCAAUAAACCUGCAAGCAAUUAAAAUACACUGUUUGUAUAUUGCAUAAUCAAGGUAACUAAUGAAAUUGGGAUCAUAGACCUUACCUCGUAUUUCCAACCUGAAGCACAUAUCAUACAUGCUCCAUGUACUCACCAUGGCAAAGGUCAAGAACACCCAAGUAGAAAUAGAUAUUAACUGUAAUCAUUCAAGAACAAUUAAAAUGCAAUGACGAUAUAAUAUAGAAUAACAUAUACAGAUCUUGAAAAAACAAGUUCACCUAGAACAACAGAUUAAGACCAAAUUAAUUAAACACAUGGUUAAACACAUAUGCAAUAAAUACAUAAAUGCAUAAAGGAUCCCCACUACUCCCACAAUAGAUCUGCCAUUGAACAUAUUAGACAUUGUAUUAAACAUUAUAUUGAAAUAUUACCGUCUAUGUAGCAUACAUGUUUGCUCAAUAAUAUUUAGCCCGUGUUUGAUUGCUUAAAAUAUUGCACAUUAGUUAUGUGGUCAAAUUUGACUGGAAAAUGCAUUUUCA